rnacentral:rRNA from 1 species
GAUGAACGCUGGCGGCGUGCCUAAUACAUGCAAGUCGAGCGAAGCGGGGACGGGUGAGUAACACGUGGAUAACCUCCUAUAAGACUGGGAUAACUUCGGGAAACCGGUGCUAAACCGGCUACUUGUAGAUGGAUCCGCGGGGGAUUAGCUAGGUGGUAAGGUAACGGCUUACCAAGGCAACGAUGCAUAGCCGACCUGAGAGGGUGAUCGGCCACACUGGAACUGAGACACGGCCCAGACUCCUACGGGAGGCAGCAGUAGGGAAUCUUCCGCAAUGGGCGAAAGCCUGACGGAGCAACGCCGCGUGAGUGAUGAAGGUCUUCGGAUCGUAAAACUCUGUUAUUAGGGAAGCGGUACCUAAUCAGAAAGCCACGGCUAACUACGUGCCAGCAGCCGCGGUAAUAC